rnacentral:rRNA from 1 species
AGUUCAUAUCGACGGCGGUGUUUGGCACCUCGAUGUCGGCUCAUCUCAUCCUGGGGCUGAAGCAGGUCCCAAGGGUAUGGCUGUUCGCCAUUUAAAGAGGUACGCGAGCUGGGUUUAGAACGUCGUGAGACAGUUCGGUCCCUAUCUACCGUGGGCGCUGGAAAUUUGAGAGGAUCUGCUCCUAGUACGAGAGGACCAGAGUGGACGAACCUCUGGUGUACCGGUUGUGACGCCAGUCGCAUCGCCGGGUAGCUAUGUUCGGAAGGGAUAACCGCUGAAAGCAUCUAAGCGGGAAGCCUACCUCAAGAUAAGAUUUCCCUAGGACUUUAUGUCCUCUAAAGAGCCGUUCGAGACUAGGACGUUGAUAGGUUGGAUGUGGAAGCAUAGUGAUAUGUGAAGCUGACCAAUACUAAUUGCUCGUGAGGCUUGACUAUACAACACCCAAGCAGUUG